GAGGGUGGGCCCCUCGGUGCCGUCUUUCAGGAGAAGGCAUCAAACCACUUCAAGCUGCGGCGUUUAAGAGACGCCGUGGUGUUGUGCCAUGAACGUGCCUGCAUUCUUUGAGGCACGGU
rfam:Burkholderia calidae type strain LMG 29321 genome assembly, contig: contig000156